UACGUAGGGCGCAAGCGUUAUCCGGAAUUAUUGGGCGUAAAGAGCUCGUAGGCGGUUUGUCGCGUCUGCCGUGAAAGUCAAAGGCUCAACCUUUGAAUGUCAGUGGAUACUGCCGGGCUAGAGUCCGGAAGAGGAGAAUGGAAUUCCCGGUGUAGCGGUGAAAUGCGCAGAUAUCGGGAAGAACACCCGUGGCGAAGGAGGUUCUCUGGGACGGUACUGACGCUGAGACGCGAAAGCGUGGGGAGCGAACAGG
rnacentral:rRNA from 1 species